CUAAGGAAUAUUUCCGGCAAUGGAGGAAACUCUGACGGAGCAACGCCGCGUGGACGAUGAAGGCCGGAAGGUUGUAAAGUCCUUUUAUAAUUGAGGAAUAAGCGGGACAGGGAAUGGUUCCGCGGUGACCGUAAAUUAUGAAUAAGCACCGGCUAAAUACGUGCCAGCAGCCGCGGUAAUACGUAUGGUGCAAGCGUUAUCCGGAUUUACUGGGUGUAAGGGGAGCGCAGGCGGUGCGGCAAGUCUGAUGUGAAAGCCCGGGGCUCAACCCCGGUACUGCAUUGGAAACUGUCGUACUAGAGUGUCGGAGGGGUAAGUGGAAUUCCUAGUGUAGCGGUGAAAUGCGUAGAUAUUAGGAGGAACACCAGUGGCGAAGGCGGCUUACUGGACGAUAACUGACGCUGAGGCUCGAAAGCGUGGGGAGCAAACAGGGAUUAGAUACCC
rnacentral:rRNA from 1 species